rnacentral:rRNA from 1 species
AGGGGGCUAGCGUUGCUCGGAAUGACUGGGCGUAAAGGGCGCGUAGGCGGAAUGCUUUGUCGGGCGUGAAAUUCCAGGGCUCAACCUUGGGGCUGCGUUCGAGACGGGUAUUCUUGAGUUCGGAAGAGGGUCGUGGAAUUCCCAGUGUAGAGGUGAAAUUCGUAGAUAUUGGGAAGAACACCGGUGGCGAAGGCGGCGACCUGGUCCGAGACUGACGCUGAGGCGCGAAAGCGUGGGGAGCAAACAGG